AUCCCAAACAUGUAAAGACCUA
rnacentral:snRNA from 1 species